AGAUUUUCCAACUCCUCUUUUGCCACAUACUGAUUAAAAGGGCCUGUGCUCCCUCUGGUUAGAUGAAUGGCUAAUAGAAUGUAUCAUUCUUGAAUCUUCUAUAUUGAAUACACGACCUGCAGCCCAGUGUGGUGUUGGAUAGUAUUCUGAGCCUCCCAAGACAUAAACUGUUAUUCUCAGUAAAUACUCUUUUUAGCCUUGUAACUCAUGAUUAUGUUUUAUUUUUCACUAAGAUGCCCAGCUCCAGCCCUUGAGCGUUGUCUGUUAAGAGGAGGUUCUUUUCUGAACGAGUCUUACUCUCUAACCAGAAGAAUUGUAUUUUUGGUUAAACAUUUUUACUAAAUAGGAGUAACUCUUGAGUAUUGCAUAAGCCUUGUGAACAGAUAAGUUGAAAUAUUUUAAUUGGACAAGUAAGCAUAAACCUUUGAAAGUCUUGAAGGAGAAAUUUUAAAUUUACACCAUGGAAUACAUUUAGUAAGCUGUUUUUUACAAUCUGUAUUUUAUAACAAAAUUGAUCCUGCUGCUUCUUUACUACUUAGGUCACAAGGUUAUGUUUUGAAAGGUCCUUCAACAGAUGCACCCAGAGUACUGUACUGGGUGAUAUCUGCCAGUGGAAAGCUAGUCAUUGCUCUUAUGCAAAUUAGGUGGCGCUUAUACUCACCUUUAUUCUGUUCCACAGAACUGCCUUUGUACCUCUGGAGCUGAGCACAAGCUGUAAUAGAUGCUUUUGAGUUCAGAUCUUUGUGAAAGCAGAGAAAUUCUCUAUUCGAAUACUGAUGUUUAUAUUUCAGUAACUUUAUGACACUAAUUAAGAAUAUGUAGCUUCUGUUUAUUACUUGAAAGGAAGAGACUCUCGUUAUAAACUUGACAGAACUUUUUCACUUUAGUUUCAAGCAUCAAUGGGAUAAUUUCUAUUUUCCCAGCUGUCUAAAGUGACCACACAAAAUGUAGGUUAGUUCCUACCGUUAAACCUAAGGUGUAGAUUAUAGACACAUUUUUGGUUUGCAACACAACACAGCAAUAGGCAUUCCUAUAAAUCAGUUUGAGAAAUUAAUUUUAUUUUGUACAAGGUCUGAUCCCUCUGCACAGUGAACAAAUAUAAAUCUCGGUUGUUUAAAAAAGUAUUGCCAUUUCAUAGUCCCACUUAUGCUAUUACACAAUAAUUGUGUUUUCUUUAUUCAUUUGAAUUAUAUGCAGAUCACUUUGAGUGAAAACUUAGUUUCCAUAAACUAAUUGAACAGAUCUUUUCAAGCUGUCAAUAAAAUGCACAGUGACGCAUUUAGGCUCACCAUGAAUUUACUUGCGACAGUGCUAGACAGAAGUUCCUAAUAGUUGCUCUGUAAGAUUCAAAUGUCAUUUACUAGUAACUCUUAGAUAAUGUGAAGACAACAGUUGUUACCAUUGAUUAAUCAUGCCCUGUGUCUUUCCCUGUUCCUGUGUUGCCUGAUUGAAUUUGCAGUACAUUUCUUUAAAAAUGAGAAUGCUAGAGCUGAAGGGUUUUAGGGUUCCCUUAUCCCUCUUGGCUACUCCUUUUUUUUUUUUUUACAUACAGGGGUAAGGGGUAAAAAGAGCCUCGAGAAGGCAAGUAACAUUCAAAUCUCUUGACCCAGUGCUUUAGCAUUUCCACCCUGCCACCUCUUGCUGAAAUUGGCACAGAAGAUAGUUGGCAAAAAAGAGGUGAAACUUGAAACUUGGGUGGGUGAUGGUGCUUGUUUGCAGCUUGCCAGGCAGCAGUUACUUACAUGCAGGGGGAGGGAAGAAGAUAAACCUGGGAUUGAGAUGGAGUUUCUCCCUGCUGAUCUGACUUCACCAUGAUUCUCCGUCCUUGCUUCACAAAGAUAAUGGAGUACUUGCUGCCUUGAAAUAUGGAGCGGAGUUGACACAAGAGUUUGAUUUCCUGCAUAAGGGAGGAGGGCAGCCCUGGGAAAAGCAGUGCACCUUGGACUCCUUAGAAAGCAGCGAAAGAAAAGGUGUGUUUUCAAGACAGGAUGUCGACAAGGAUGGCACAUCUGUGUACGGAGACCCCCUGUGCACAGGCGACUUCAUUUCUACAUAGCUGUUUUCUGGAAGCUUGCAGUUUCUUCCUGCUCCUCGGCUCCUCUGGUACCUCUACACGCACAGUGGUCUGCAGCAGCUUCGCCUUACCUUCGCGGGAAC